UACGAAGGGGGGCUAGCGUUGCUCGGAAUUACUGGGCGUAAAGGGCGCGUAGGCGGAUAUUUAAGUUGGGGGUGAAAUCUCGGGGCUCAACCUCGGAAUUGCCUUCAAAACUGGAUAUCUUGAGUUCGGGAGAGGUGAGUGGAACUCCGAGUGUAGAGGUGAAAUUCGUAGAUAUUCGGAAGAACACCAGUGGCGAAGGCGACUCACUGGCCCGAUACUGACGCUGACGGCGCGAAAGCGUGGGGAGCAAACAGG
rnacentral:rRNA from 1 species